rnacentral:misc_RNA from 1 species
UGGGAUGCCAUAUAUAUCUUGUAUUGAUGUGGGGCAUUUUGGCAUGUUCCAGCAGAAGUGGCACUUAGGCACUGACCAGUGGACACCCUGGGUGUGUACCAGCUCCCAAACACAUGCCCAGGGCCUGUGAUAUUCUAUCCCGGCAGUGGGAAAUUGAUGGAAAAUUGACGUUUUUUCAGUUCAAAACUCUUCCAAGAGCUGUCCUAUCUCAGAUACUUCCUAUUCCAGCAAAGAUGUUAAUUUAGAUUUAGUUUUUUUGUGUUUCCUAUUUUAUUUAGUAGUUCUAAACUUCUAAAUUCCUAUUUCAACUAGGAUUAAUUUUAUUCUUAUUUUAUCUAGAUUUACUGCAAUAUUUUGGUUUAUCUAAACUUCCUAGAAAG